rnacentral:rRNA from 1 species
UAGGGAAUCUUCCACAAUGGACGCAAGUCUGAUGGAGCAACGCCGCGUGAGUGAAGAAGGGUUUCGGCUCGUAAAGCUCUGUUGUUAAAGAAGAACGUGGGUAAGAGUAACUGUUUACCCAGUGACGGUAUUUAACCAGAAAGCCACGGCUAACUACGCACCAG